rnacentral:lncRNA from 1 species
AAGGAGAGUGAGUGUGGACUUAGGCCACAUAAGAUGGAGAACCAUUUACCUAGUAUGCCUAUGAUGGAAAUCUUCUCCUAUCUGGAUGCUUACAGUUUGCUACAGGUUGCCCAAGUGAACAAGGGUGCUAUGACCUGGGAAAGCCCAGUACAGGAAUCCUAUAUUGAGCUGAUGACUACCCUCCCUGAGAUGCACAUUGUGAUCACUGUAGAUAUAAGCUCAACUAUCAAACUGUGGGACUGUCACAACAGUGAUGCUCUGGCAACUAAGAGCAUUUUCUCUCUGUGUCAAAUACUGAAAGCUGUGUUUACAAAGGAUGGCCCAAUUGUCUUGGUAGGUGAUACCUCGGGAAACCUCUACAUCUUUAGGAUUCCCGACUUAUACCCCAUUUCCAGAUUCAAUGUAUUCCCAUACGCUUUUGAUGA